CCUACGGGACGCACCAGUGGGGGAUAUUGCACAAUGGGCGCAAGCCUGAUGCAGCCAUGCCGCGUGUAUGAAGAAGGCCUUCGGGUUGUAAAGUACUUUCAGCGGGGAGGAAGGGAGUAAAGUUAAUACCUUUGCUCAUUGACGUUACCCGCAGAGGAAGCACCGGCUAACUCCGUGCCAGCAGCCGCGGUAAUACGGAGGGUGCAAGCGUUAAUCGGAAUUACUGGGCGUAAAGCGCACGCAGGCGGUUUGUUAAGUCAGAUGUGAAAUCCCCGGGCUCAACCUGGGAACUGCAUCUGAUACUGGCAAGCUUGAGUCUCGUGGAGGGGGGUAGAAUUCCAGGUGUAGCGGUGAAAUGCGUAGAGAUCUGGAGGAAUACCGGUGGCGAAGGCGGCCCCCUGGACAAAGACUGACGCUCAGGUGCGAAAGCGUGGGGAGCAAACAGGAUUAGAUACCCUCGUAGUC
rnacentral:rRNA from 1 species